UGUAGUGGCGUGUUCUAGACCCGAAGCGGAGUGAUCUACCCAUGGCCAGGUUGAAGCGACGGUAAGACGUCGUGGAGGACCGAACCCACUUAGGUUGAAAACUGAGGGGAUGAGUUGUGGGUAGGGGUGAAAGGCCAAUCAAACUCCGUGAUAGCUGGUUCUCCCCGAAAUGCAUUUAGGUGCAGCGUCACGUGUUUCUCACCGGAGGUAGAGCUACUGGAUGGUCUAGGGGGCCUACAAGCUUACCGAAAUCAGCCAAACUCCGAAUGCCGGUGAGUGAGAGCGUGGCAGUGAGACUGCGGGCGAUAAGGUUCGUAGUCGAGAGGGAAACAGCCCAGAUCGCCAGCUAAGGUCCCUAAGCGUGUACUAAGUGGAAAAGGAUGUGGGGUCGCGAAGACAACCAGGAGGUUGGCUUAGAAGCAGCCACCCUUGAAAGAGUGCGUAAUAGCUCACUGGUCAAGUGAUCCUGCGCCGACAAUGUAGCGGGGCUCAAGUACACCACCGAAGCUGCGGCACUCACACAAUAGCCCGCUGAAUCCUUGCGAGGGUUCAGCCAGGUGUGUGGGUGGGUAGGGGAGCGUCGUGCAGCCAUGGAAGCAUCGGAGUGAUCCAGGUGUGGAGGCUGCGCGAGUGAGAAUGCAGGCAUGAGUAGCGAAAGACGAGUGAGAAACUCGUCCGCCGAAUGACCAAGGGUUCCUGGGCCAGGUUAAUCCGCCCAGGGUGAGUCGGGACCUAAGACGAGGCCGACAGGCGUAGCCGAUGGACAACGGGUUGAUAUUCCCGUACCCGUGUAACCGCGCCCAUGGUGAAUCAGUGACACUAACCACCCUGAAUCUCGCUUACUUCACGCCUUCGGGUGUGCGGGGGCGGGUGGAUGCGUGGGACCUGAUCUGGUAGUAGCCAAGCGAUGGGGUGACGCAGGAAGGUAGCUGGGCCAGUCAGUGGUUGUACUGGUGUAAGCCUGUAGGGCGAACGGUAGGCAAAUCCGCCGUUCAUCGAGCCUGAGAGGUGAUGCGUAGCCGAUUGAGGCGAAUUCAGUGAUCCUAUGCUGCCGAGAAAAGCCUCUAGUGAGUUGUUACACGGCCCGUACCCCAAACCGACACAGGUGGUCAGGUAGAGAAUACUAAGGCGAUCGAGAUAACUAUGGUUAAGGAACUCGGCAAAAUGCCCCCGUAACUUCGGGAGAAGGGGGGCCCCUGCCGGUGAUCACUCUUGCAGUGUGAGCUGGUGUGGGCCGCAGAGACCAGUGAGAAGCGACUGUUUACUAAAAACACAGGUCCGUGCGAAGUCGUAAGACGAUGUAUACGGACUGACGCCUGCCCGGUGCUGGAAGGUUAAGAGGACCGGUUAGCCAGCAAUGGCGAAGCUGAGAAUUUAAGCCCCAGUAAACGGCGGUGGUAACUAUAACCAUCCUAAGGUAGCGAAAUUCCUUGUCGGGUAAGUUCCGACCUGCACGAAUGGCGUAACGACUUCUCAGCUGUCUCAACCAUAGACUCGGCGAAAUUGCAUUACGAGUAAAGAUGCUCGUUACGCGCGGCAGGACGAAAAGACCCCGGGACCUUCACUACAGCUUGGUAUUGGUGUUCGGUUCGGUUUGUGUAGGAUAGGUGGGAGACUGUGAAGCGGUGACGCCAGUUACUGUGGAGUCGUUGUUGAAAUACCACUCUGAUCGUAUUGGAUACCUCAACCUCGGACCAUGAUCUGGUUCAGGGACAGUGCCUGGUGGGUAGUUUAACUGGGGCGGUUGCCUCCUAAAAUGUAACGGAGGCGCCCAAAGGUUCCCUCAGCCUGGUUGGCAAUCAGGUGUCGAGUGCAAGUGCACAAGGGAGCUUGACUGUGAGACUGACAAGUCGAGCAGGGACGAAAGUCGGGACUAGUGAUCCGGCACCGGCAAGUGGAAGCGGUGUCGCUCAACGGAUAAAAGGUACCCCGGGGAUAACAGGCUGAUCUUCCCCAAGAGUCCAUAUCGACGGGAUGGUUUGGCACCUCGAUGUCGGCUCGUCGCAUCCUGGGGCUGGAGUAGGUCCCAAGGGUUGGGCUGUUCGCCCAUUAAAGCGGCACGCGAGCUGGGUUUAGAACGUCGUGAGACAGUUCGGUCUCUAUCCGCCGCGCGCGUAAGAAACUUGAGGAAGGCUGUCCCUAGUACGAGAGGACCGGGACGGACGAACCUCUGGUGUGCCAGUUGUUCCACCAGGAGCACCGCUGGUUGGCUACGUUCGGAAGGGAUAACCGCUGAAAGCAUCUAAGCGGGAAGCCUGUUCCAAGAUGAGGUUUCU
rnacentral:rRNA from 1 species